rnacentral:rRNA from 1 species
AGUGAACGCUGGCGGUAGGCCUAACACAUGCAAGUCGAACGGCAGCACAGUAAGAGCUUGCUCUUACGGGUGGCGAGUGGCGGACGGGUGAGGAAUACAUCGGAAUCUACUUUUUCGUGGGGGAUAACGUAGGGAAACUUAUGCUAAUACCGCAUACGUUCUACGGGUGAAAGCAGGGGAUCUUCGGACCUUGCGCGAUUGAAUGAGCCGAUGUCGGACUAGCUAGUUGGCGGGGUAAAGGCCCACCAAGGCGACGAUCCGUAGCUGGUCUGAGAGGAUGAUCCGCCACACUGGAACUGGAACACGGUCCAGACUCCUACGGGAGGCAGCAGUGGGGAAUAUUGGCCAAUGGGCGGAAGCCUGGUCCAGCCAUACCGCGGGGGUGAAGAAGGCCUUCGGGUUGUAAAGCCCUUUUGUUGGGAAAAAAAAGCAGCAGGUUAAUACCCCGCUGUUCUGACGGUACCCAAAGAAUAAGCACCGGCUAACUUCGUG